rnacentral:tRNA from 1 species
GCCGACAUAGCUCAGUUGGUAGAGCGACCGCCUUGUAAGCGGUAGGUCCUCGGUUCGAGACCGAGUGUCGGCU